UGUAACCAUGACUUGGGUCUUGAGCAGUUGAAAGACAGAAUGGUCAAGUCAAGCGCUAUAUUUUCACUCUUUGAUCAACUACUAUUUCAGAGUUUUUGCAAGAUUUUCAAAUAAAACUCAAAGCUUCCUUGUAUGACCCAUUCAAGGCUCUCAUUUGUGGUAGUUCUGGAUCCUCACCAAGGCAUGAAUGAUAUAUGCCUUCUCUCUACUCUCAGAAUAUGUGAUAUUUGAGGAAAGCAUAGUGGCAUUGUGCCUUCUCUCUCUCACCCUACAUCUAAUAGGCUUAUGUGGAGUUCAUAGGUGGGGAGACAGCUCAAACAUACUUGUAGACAUAUGUUGUAUAGUUAAACCGUGGAUCUAGUCAUACAAUCAAAUCAUAUGUGCAUGUGAAUAAGGGGAAUGAAAUGAGUGAUAGAUUGCGAGGGGCGACAAUAAUGAUGGUGGAGAUCUAAUUCUACAUUUGCUCCUUGGGGCUACUUUUUCUUUAUUUUGGGACUUUUGUCCUCUUUCUUUUCUUUUUUCUUUCUCUUUUUUAGAGAUAACCAAUUCUUUUAAUACACUAACAAUAGUAGGGAGUAUCAACUAAAAUAACUAGAUCUUUAUUGGAUAAGUAGGGAGUAUCAACUAAAAUAACAGAAGUAGGGAGUAUCAACUAUAAUGGCAAUGAAUAUUUUUGGAUGUCCUGUCCUAGUGCGGGAGAGUAAAAUAUUUUCUGAGUGGAUAAGGAAUAUGUAUAUGUGGAUGGAUGAAUGCGUACUCUUAGGGUAGGAGAAGCAGAGGUGUGUGUCUCCAAGAUAGAAAAAACAUAGAGUGUAGUGUGUAUAUGUGGGUUGUGCUUCUAUGAACAGAAGUAGCAUAGGGAGAAUGUGUAGUGGAUGUAAGUGGUUGCAUACUUCUGAAGACAGAAGUAGCUAAGAUCAAUGGAUGGAAAGCACAAAAUAUUGACUUUAACUGCAUGACUAGUUCCUUAGGGUCAACAUAGCUUAACUACACACAAUGCCUACAAGCAAUAUAUGGAAGUGGAUGGCUUUCCUAAUCUAGUAAGCAUGUAUAUUUGGCUAUGGUAGGAAUUUUGAACUCUCGUCAUAUAGAAACUCAUCAUGCAGCAAUUUAAAAUUUUCAAAGAUAAAUUCUCCAGAACUCUAGUAUCUCUAGGAACAAGAUGGACAUCAGCUCAAAACCUUCCCAUAUCAUAUCUAUCAUCUAUCUAGACUUAGAUCAAGCAUACGCUACCCACAAGUUUUAGGUUCAGAGCAAAUCUC
rnacentral:lncRNA from 1 species